GGUUAAGCGACUAAGCGUACACGGUGGAUGCCCUGGCAGUCAGAGGCGAUGAAGGACGUGCUAAUCUGCGAUAAGCGCCGGUAAGGUGAUAUGAACCGUUAUAACCGGCGAUUUCCGAAUGGGGAAACCCAGUGUGAUUCGUCACACUAUCAUUAACUGAAUCCAUAGGUUAAUGAGGCGAACCGGGGGAACUGAAACAUCUAAGUACCCCGAGGAAAAGAAAUCAACCGAGAUUCCCCCAGUAGCGGCGAGCGAACGGGGAGGAGCCCAGAGCCUGAAUCAGCAUGUGUGUUAGUGGAAGCGUCUGGAAAGGCGCGCGAUACAGGGUGACAGCCCCGUACACAAAAGCGCAUGUGCUGUGAGCUCGAUGAGUAGGGCGGGACACGUGGUAUCCUGUCUGAAUAUGGGGGGACCAUCCUCCAAGGCUAAAUACUCCUGACUGACCGAUAGUGAACCAGUACCGUGAGGGAAAGGCGAAAAGAACCCCGGCGAGGGGAGUGAAAAAGAACCUGAAACCGUGUACGUACAAGCAGUGGGAGCACAGGUUUACCUGUGUGACUGCGUACCUUUUGUAUAAUGGGUCAGCGACUUAUAUUCUGUAGCAAGGUUAACCGUAUAGGGGAGCCGUAGGGAAACCGAGUCUUAACCGGGCGUUAAGUUGCAGGGUAUAGACCCGAAACCCGGUGAUCUAGCCAUGGGCAGGUUGAAGGUUGGGUAACACUAACUGGAGGACCGAACCGACUAAUGUUGAAAAAUUAGCGGAUGACCUGUGGCUGGGGGUGAAAGGCCAAUCAAACCGGGAGAUAGCUGGUUCUCCCCGAAAGCUAUUUAGGUAGCGCCUCGUGAAUUCAUCUCCGGGGGUAGAGCACUGUUUCGGCUAGGGGGCCAUCCCGGCUUACCAACCCGAUGCAAACUGCGAAUACCGGAGAAUGUUAUCACGGGAGACACACGGCGGGUGCUAACGUCCGUCGUGAAGAGGGAAACAACCCAGACCGCCAGCUAAGGUCCCAAAGUCAUGGUUAAGUGGGAAACGAUGUGGGAAGGCCCAGACAGCCAGGAUGUUGGCUUAGAAGCAGCCAUCAUUUAAAGAAAGCGUAAUAGCUCACUGGUCGAGUCGGCCUGCGCGGAAGAUGUAACGGGGCUAAACCAUGCACCGAAGCUGCGGCAGCGACGUUUAUGCGUUGUUGGGUAGGGGAGCGUUCUGUAAGCCUGCGAAGGUGGCCUGUGAGGGUUGCUGGAGGUAUCAGAAGUGCGAAUGCUGACAUAAGUAACGAUAAAGCGGGUGAAAAGCCCGCUCGCCGGAAGACCAAGGGUUCCUGUCCAACGUUAAUCGGGGCAGGGUGAGUCGACCCCUAAGGCGAGGCCGAAAGGCGUAGUCGAUGGGAAACGGGUUAAUAUUCCCGUACUUGGUGUUACUGCGAAGGGGGGACGGAGAAGGCUAUGUUGGCCGGGCGACGGUUGUCCCGGUUUAAGCGUGUAGGUGUGUGUUCCAGGUAAAUCCGGUUCACUUUAACACUGAGGCGUGACGACGAGGCACUACGGUGCUGAAGCAACAAAUGCCCUGCUUCCAGGAAAAGCCUCUAAGCAUCAGGUAACAUCAAAUCGUACCCCAAACCGACACAGGUGGUCAGGUAGAGAAUACCAAGGCGCUUGAGAGAACUCGGGUGAAGGAACUAGGCAAAAUGGUGCCGUAACUUCGGGAGAAGGCACGCUGACACGUAGGUGAAGUGAUUUACUCACGGAGCUGAAGUCAGUCGAAGAUACCAGCUGGCUGCAACUGUUUAUUAAAAACACAGCACUGUGCAAACACGAAAGUGGACGUAUACGGUGUGACGCCUGCCCGGUGCCGGAAGGUUAAUUGAUGGGGUCAGCGCAAGCGAAGCUCCUGAUCGAAGCCCCGGUAAACGGCGGCCGUAACUAUAACGGUCCUAAGGUAGCGAAAUUCCUUGUCGGGUAAGUUCCGACCUGCACGAAUGGCGUAAUGAUGGCCAGGCUGUCUCCACCCGAGACUCAGUGAAAUUGAACUCGCUGUGAAGAUGCAGUGUACCCGCGGCAAGACGGAAAGACCCCGUGAACCUUUACUAUAGCUUGACACUGAACAUUGAGCCUUGAUGUGUAGGAUAGGUGGGAGGCUUUGAAGCGUGGACGCCAGUCUGCGUGGAGCCGACCUUGAAAUACCACCCUUUAAUGUUUGAUGUUCUAACGUGGACCCGUAAUCCGGGUUGCGGACAGUGUCUGGUGGGUAGUUUGACUGGGGCGGUCUCCUCCUAAAGAGUAACGGAGGAGCACGAAGGUUGGCUAAUCCUGGUCGGACAUCAGGAGGUUAGUGCAAUGGCAUAAGCCAGCUUGACUGCGAGCGUGACGGCGCGAGCAGGUGCGAAAGCAGGUCAUAGUGAUCCGGUGGUUCUGAAUGGAAGGGCCAUCGCUCAACGGAUAAAAGGUACUCCGGGGAUAACAGGCUGAUACCGCCCAAGAGUUCAUAUCGACGGCGGUGUUUGGCACCUCGAUGUCGGCUCAUCACAUCCUGGGGCUGAAGUAGGUCCCAAGGGUAUGGCUGUUCGCCAUUUAAAGUGGUACGCGAGCUGGGUUUAGAACGUCGUGAGACAGUUCGGUCCCUAUCUGCCGUGGGCGCUGGAGAACUGAGGGGGGCUGCUCCUAGUACGAGAGGACCGGAGUGGACGCAUCACUGGUGUUCGGGUUGUCAUGCCAAUGGCACUGCCCGGUAGCUAAAUGCGGAAGAGAUAAGUGCUGAAAGCAUCUAAGCACGAAACUUGCCCCGAGAUGAGUUCUCCCUGAGACUUAGAGUCUCCUGAAGGAACGUUGAAGACGACGACGUUGAUAGGCCGGGUGUGUAAGCGCAGCGAUGCGUUGAGCUAACCGGUACUAAUGAACCGUGAGGCUUAACCUU
rnacentral:rRNA from 1 species